AAGUAGAACGCUGAAGAGAGGAGCUUGCUCUUCUUGGAUGAGUUGCGAACGGGUGAGUAACGCGUAGGUAACCUGCCUUGUAGCGGGGGAUAACUAUUGGAAACGAUAGCUAAUACCGCAUAACAAUGGAUGACACAUGUCAUUUAUUUGAAAGGGGCAAUUGCUCCACUACAAGAUGGACCUGCGUUGUAUUAGCUAGUAGGUGAGGUAACGGCUCACCUAGGCGACGAUACAUAGCCGACCUGAGAGGGUGAUCGGCCACACUGGGACUGAGACACGGCCCAGACUCCUACGGGAGGCAGCAGUAGGGAAUCUUCGGCAAUGGGGGCAACCCUGACCGAGCAACGCCGCGUGAGUGAAGAAGGUUUUCGGAUCGUAAAGCUCUGUUGUAAGUCAAGAACGAGUGUGAGAGUGGAAAGUUCACACUGUGACGGUAGCUUACCAGAAAGGGACGGCUAACUACGUGCCAGCAGCCGCGGUAAUACGUAGGUCCCGAGCGUUGUCCGGAUUUAUUGGGCGUAAAGCGAGCGCAGGCGGUUUGAUAAGUCUGAAGUUAAAGGCUGUGGCUCAACCAUAGUUCGCUUUGGAAACUGUCAAACUUGAGUGCAGAAGGGGAGAGUGGAAUUCCAUGUGUAGCGGUGAAAUGCGUAGAUAUAUGGAGGAACACCGGUGGCGAAAGCGGCUCUCUGGUCUGUAACUGACGCUGAGGCUCGAAAGCGUGGGGAGCGAACAGGAUUAGAUACCCUGGUAGUCCACGCCGUAAACGAUGAGUGCUAGGUGUUGGAUCCUUUCCGGGAUUCAGUGCCGCAGCUAACGCAUUAAGCACUCCGCCUGGGGAGUACGACCGCAAGGUUGAAACUCAAAGGAAUUGACGGGGGCCCGCACAAGCGGUGGAGCAUGUGGUUUAAUUCGAAGCAACGCGAAGAACCUUACCAGGUCUUGACAUCCCGAUGCUAUUUCUAGAGAUAGAAAGUUACUUCGGUACAUCGGUGACAGGUGGUGCAUGGUUGUCGUCAGCUCGUGUCGUGAGAUGUUGGGUUAAGUCCCGCAACGAGCGCAACCCCUAUUGUUAGUUGCCAUCAUUCAGUUGGGCACUCUAGCGAGACUGCCGGUAAUAAACCGGAGGAAGGUGGGGAUGACGUCAAAUCAUCAUGCCCCUUAUGACCUGGGCUACACACGUGCUACAAUGGUUGGUACAACGAGUUGCGAGUCGGUGACGGCAAGCUAAUCUCUUAAAGCCAAUCUCAGUUCGGAUUGUAGGCUGCAACUCGCCUACAUGAAGUCGGAAUCGCUAGUAAUCGCGGAUCAGCACGCCGCGGUGAAUACGUUCCCGGGCCUUGUACACACCGCCCGUCACACCACGAGAGUUUGUAACACCCGAAGUCGGUGAGGUA
rnacentral:rRNA from 1 species